UAGGCACUUCUCUAAAGUUGUCAUACAGAUGGCCAAGUGACAUAUAAAAAAAAUGCUCAAAGUCACUGGUCAUCAGAGAGAUGCAAAUUAAAAUGACAAUGAGAUAUCACUUCACACCUG